GACGAACGCUGGCGGCGUGCCUAAUACAUGCAAGUAGGACGCAGUUGCGAACGGGUGAGUAACGCGUAGGUAAAUGCCUAUUAGAGGGGGAUAACUAUUGGAAACGAUAGCUAAUACCGCAUACUAGUAGAUGGACCUGCGUUGUAUUAGCUAGUAGGUAGGGUAAUGGCCUACCUAGGCAACGAUACAUGGCCGACCUUGUAGGUGGAGCGGCCAAACUGGGACUGAGGCACGGCCCAGACUCCUACGGGAGGGAGCCGGAGGGAAUCUUCGGCAAUGGGGGGAAACCUGACCGAGCAACGCCGCGUGAGUGAAGAAGGUUUUCGGAUCGUAAAGCUCUGUUGUUAAGGAAGCGGUACUUAACCAGAAAGGGACGGCUAACUACGUGCCAGCCGCCGCGGUAAUUC
rnacentral:rRNA from 1 species